rnacentral:rRNA from 1 species
UUUAUGGAGAGUUUGAUCCUGGCUCAGGAUGAACGCUGGCGGCGUGCCUAAUACAUGCAAGUCGAGCGAACAGACGAGGAGCUUGCUCCUUUGACGUUAGCGGCGGACGGGUGAGUAACACGUGGGUAACCUACCUAUAAGACUGGGAUAACUUCGGGAAACCGGAGCUAAUACCGGAUAAUAUUUCGAACCGCAUGGUUCGAUAGUGAAAGAUGGCUCUGCUAUCACUUAUAGAUGGACCUGCGCCGUAUUAGCUAGUUGGUAAGGUAACGGCUUACCAAGGCAACGAUACGUAGCCGACCUGAGAGGGUGAUCGGCCACACUGGAACUGAGACACGGUCCAGACUCCUACGGGAGGCAGCAGUAGGG